rnacentral:miRNA from 1 species
UGAAUGAUAUUAACGUCCACG